UGGCGAAUGCAGGCGGAACUACAGGCUGUCACCCUCCAGGUCGCGGGUUCGAAUCCCGUCGGGCCCGCCCCAUGGGGCCCGUAGCUCAGCGGUAGAGCGGGACGUUUCGCCGUUCCUCGUCGCCAU
rnacentral:Y_RNA from 1 species